UUGGCGGCGUGGUUAAGACAUGCAAGUCGAACGAGAGAAUUGCUAGCUUGCUAAUAAUUCUCUAGUGGCGCACGGGUGAGUAACACGUGAGUAACCUGCCCCCGAGAGCGGGAUAGCCCUGGGAAACUGGGAUUAAUACCGCAUAGUAUCGAAAGAUUAAAGCAGCAAUGCGCUUGGGGGUGGGCUCGCGGCCUAUUAGUUAGUUGGUGAGGUAACGGCUCACCAAGGCGAUGACGGGUAGCCGGUCUGAGAGGAUGUCCGGCCACACUGGAACUGAGACACGGUCCAGACACCUACGGGUGGCAGCAGUCGAGAAUCAUUCACAAUGGGGGAAACCCUGAUGGUGCGACGCCGCGUGGGGGAAUGAAGGUCUUCGGAUUGUAAACCCCUGUCAUGUGGGAGCAAAUUAAAAAGAUAGUACCACAAGAGGAAGAGACGGCUAACUCUGUGCCAGCAGCCGCGGUAAUACAGAGGUCUCAAGCGUUGUUCGGAAUCACUGGGCAUAAAGCGUGCGUAGGCUGUUUCGUAAGUCGUGUGUGAAAGGCGCGGGCUCAACCCGCGGACGGCACAUGAUACUGCGAGACUAGAGUAAUGGAGGGGGAACCGGAAUUCACGGUGUAGCAAAUCACUAGUGAAUUC
rnacentral:rRNA from 1 species